CCUGUUGGCCUGAAGGGACUGUAGCAUAUUCUUUUUUGUCAUCUCAAAACAACAUGCUGCUUGGAUUUUUUCUGCUGUUCUUCUUCUGUGAGAGCACAGUCACAUUCUCGACUACAAAAUGGCCUAUUUACUUUACUUCCCUGAACACACCUCAAACUACAAUGACAGAAAUGCUAUCUCCGCUGCUGGCGGUGGCCACACCAGACUACCCUGUUGCAGCAGGUCAAACAGUCAACCUGCACUGCAGUGCUUUCUCCAUGCCGUCACUUGUCAAUUGGUCCUGGCAACACCUAGAAAAUAUGGCCUGGCAACAGGUGGGCAGCGAGAUGGACCUGACCCUCACCGAGCCAAAGCAAAGUGGGCUGUACCGCUGCUGUGCUAAGACCAAGUUAUAUCAGGUUGUGAGCCAUAACCUCACAGUCUAUAUCAUCGACAUGCAGCCAACAGCCUUUCACCUCCAAUUCUGUGCUGUUUCCCCUACUGAAAAUAGUGGGUGAGAAUUUAGGAAUAGCUGCCAUCGUCCUUUCUCUCCUGGCCUUGAUCAUCAUCCUCACUAUUCUGAUUUGGUUGGGCUUGCAAAGAGUUGGUGGCACAAUGACCAUCUCUAACACUGCAGCUAAAGGUUUUCCAGGACCUGAAAAGGCACCAAAGGGAGAUUUCCCACAGACAGAAAGCGAUGGAGAUGUGUACAUGAAUUACACAAACACCAACCAAGCCUACACUAAUCUGGACCCAACCAAUAUGAGUGGGGAUAAUGUCUACUCAAGUCUGUCAUGAACACCCAAAGGGAAGGUGGAGACGUGCAAUAAAAAGAGGAAGAGUGACAGAACAUUUUGUUCAGCAGCAGAUUACAGUUCGUUAAUAUCUUGCAUGUACAGCUCAGCGUCAUGUUUAACCUGACAGAGAUGGUUUACCAUAUGCUGUGAAGUUUUUCAGUGUGUGCGUUACCUUGAAGUGUAUGCUUUGUUCGAUUUAAUCUAACCUCACAAUCAACAUUCACCAUCUGAAUGUGGUAAAAAAAAGAAGACACACACAUCUGUAGUUCUAGGUAUGUGGAAAUGUUCCCACCAAACAGUAACCCUCCCCUUUCUCUUUAUACUGGCUAAUAAAACCUGUAAUGUCUACAAAGAUGAA